rnacentral:misc_RNA from 1 species
GAUGAAGAACGUAGCGAAAUGCGAUAAGUAAUGUGAAUUGCAGAAUUCAGUGAAUCAUCGAAUCUUUGAACGCACCUUGCACCCUUUGGCAUUCCGAAGGGUAUGCUCGUUUGAGUGUCAUUGUACUCUCACACUUCCGAUCUUUGGAUUGGGAGCGGUGGACUUGGGUGUUGCUGCUUACUGUGGCUCACCUCAAAUCGAUUCGUGCACCUCUUGGUUGGACAUAGUACGGCGUGAUAAGUGUCUUCGCCGGCACCUCAGUAGAGGGUGGCUGAUCGGGAGCUCUGCUUCAAACCGUCCUCUGACAACAACUGACAACUUGACCUCAAAUCGAGUAGGACUACCCGCUGAACUUAAGCAUAUCAAUAAGCGGAGGA